UACGGGAGGCAGCAGUGGGGAAUAUUGCACAAUGGGCGCAAGCCUGAUGCAGCCAUGCCGCGUGUAUGAAGAAGGCCUUCGGGUUGUAAAGUACUUUCAGCGGGGAGGAAGGGAGUAAAGUUAAUACCUUUGCUCAUUGACGUUACCCGCAGAAGAAGCACCGGCUAACUCCGUGCCAGCAGCCGCGGUAAUACGGAGGGUGCAAGCGUUAAUCGGAAUUACUGGGCGUAAAGCGCACGCAGGCGGUUUUGUUAAGUCAGAUGUGAAAUCCCCGGGCUCAACCUGGGAACUGCAUCUGAUACUGGCAAGCUUGAGUCUCGUAGAGGGGGUAGAAUUCCGAGGUGUAGCGGUGAAAUGCGUAGAGAUCUGGAGGAAUACCGGUGGCGAAGGCGGCCCCUGGGACGAAGACUGACGCUCAGGGUGCGAAAGCGUGGGGAGCAAACGAGGAUUAGGAUACC
rnacentral:rRNA from 1 species